rnacentral:lncRNA from 1 species
GAGGAGGAGGUAUUGAAGCUUAUCUUCGACCGCACCACUCCCCCACCUCUAAGUUCCUUUUCAAGAAGACAUUAUGUAAGGUCGUGUUAAGCCCAGCCAAUCUUGCAAGUAAGUUAAUUGCUUUUGAAGUUCUUCACCUCACAUUCCUUUUAGCUAACCUCAGCCCUUCUCUAGAUAUGAGGCCUUAGGAUGUUGAAGCCCUGCACCAAGCCACAAAGAGGAAGAAGACUGCUGCAGCCCCUAUCCCGAAAUGAAACGGACUGAGGCUGUCCUUAUUCAACCCGCGGUUGGCAAUUCUUCGAAGCCAACUCAAGCACCCCCGAGGAAGAAAGCUUUGUCAGGGGCCCAACUCGUGCAACCCCUAAGAUCUGUUGCUCCGGGGGAGUCAAUCCCCCUAUCUUCUGCUUCUUUGUUGCACCAAGGUUCAGGUACUCCCCAAAUCUCAAUACGGAUGUCUUUCCGCCC